CAAAAAUGUAGCUUAAAUCGUAUCUAAAUGGGAAAGAGCAUACUUGUAGCAAACUGAACGGAGCUGCUUGGCAAAGCGCAUAUGCUUCCAUUGGCACCCCGUCAGUAAAACUGAAACGAGCGGGUCCCUGGCAGCAUUUGGUGGCUCAGUUCAUAAAGUACACAGUCAGUGAACAUUGAACGCCCGGGUGUUUCCAGCGCUUUCCGCGAAUAAAGAAUGAAUCAGCCGUUAUUGACACAACAAGGUCGUGUCAGUGCAGUUAACCUGACGCGGCGUUAACUGCCACUAUCAAAACAUUUUACGACGUGAUGCCUGAAAAAUUUGUUCGCGUGAUUCAUGUUUUUCCACUGGUGUGAAAGGAGAACGCGAGAACAUUCGUAUUUAUUCCAAAUGGAUAACCCUGGCCUAAACCCCCACAGGAGCAAACCUAAGGCAAUAGUGCAAAGGGAAAACUCGGAAGGAAGGAACUUGGAAGGAACCAGACUCGAGGGCAGAACCCAUUCCUCCUCUGGUCGGCUCAAGGUGUAGGUUUAAAUGAUCAGUCAGUGAAUGUUCACGUGAAUCAAUUUAGUGUCAGCUAGGUGACAAUCCUGUGGCUCAGAUGAUAGGCGGGGCCGAGUGGCGAUGGUGGCGAGCGGCCGGCGGCAAGUUGGCAGGGAGGAGGCGGCGACGAAAGAGGAGGCCGUGAUGUUCAACACUAGGUGGCAGCAAAUUCAAAUAAAAGCUUCAAGCUUUUCUGAUUGCUUAAUAAACAAUAGAUGCAUAAAUGACUUAA